AAACAGAAAGAUAUUCAAGUGAUGACGUUAUUGGAGACGAAGUUGGACAACAAUUCUCUUGACCCUAUUAUGCGUCAGCAAUUUUCAGGUAUGGGGCAUGUCCAUAAUUUUGAUAUGUCUAAUCAUGGUCGUAUACUGCUUCUUUGGGAUAUACACAGAGUUGAUAUGGGUGUGCCCUCAAUGACCAAACAAUUCAUUCAUUGUCGGGUUCGGUGCCGGAUUGCCGGGAGGAACUUCUUAGUGAUAUUUAUUUAUGGACUUCAUUCUAUUAUUACUCGGAGACCAUUAUGAGAGGCUCUUACAGAUCUUGGGGAGUCCAUUUCAAAACUAUGGUUGAUUCUUGAAUAUUUUAAUUCUAUUGUAUCGAUAUUGGAUAGACAAGGGGAUCUCCAGUCACCAAUUAUGAAAUGCGAGAGUUUCAAAAUUUUACUCAAGUAUGUGGUCUGGUGGAUCUUCGUUCCAUUGGAUGUCGGCUCACUUGGACCAAUGGUACGAUUUUUGUAAAUUGAACAGAGCUUUGGUGAAUUAUUUUUGGUUAUUGGCAGAUUUCGAUACUUAUGCGGAGUUUACAAUGCUCCGGUGUCUCUCGGACCACUCUUGCACCAUAGUGCACACUCUAGCGAAGGAUCGACCUCCAAAUCGAUCUUUCAAGUUCAUUAAUAUGUAGUUACCAAAUGAAGGUUACAUCGAGUUUGUGAUGGACUCAUGGUCACCCCCGAUUAUUGGGUAUGUUCAAUUCAUUUUUAAAGUGAAGUUGACCCGUUUGAAGAAAAGAUUGAGAGAGUUGAAUAAAAAUAAUUUUAGGCAUAUUUCGGAGAAGGCAAAGAGAGCAAAUAUAGAUUUAGAGGAGAUACAGAAAGGGGUCAUAGCAGGAGGUACUAUUCCCAUUGACUAUGAUCAUAUACGGAGGAAAGUCACUCUAUUAGCGGAGGCAGAGAAAUAAUUUUGUCAACAACGUGCGAAAAAUGUUUACUUAAGAAUCUCUGAUAAGUGUACUAAAUUCUUCCAUGAUGUAGUGAAGCGGAACAACAAGAGGCAAGCCAUCAUCACACUCACAAAGCGAAAUGGGGAACAAACAUCAAGCUUAGGUGAACUGGCGGAUGAAUUUGUGGGCUUCUUUCAUGAUCUACUUAGGAAAAAAGUGGUGUGUGACCCCAUGGACAGCGGUGGAUUUCUUGGAAGAAAACUCACUCAUGGUCAAUCUGAGGACUUAAUUAGGUCGAUGGAGGUGGAGGAAAUUAAAGCAGUCUUAUACGAUAUUGGGAGUGAUAAAACACCGGGUCCAGAUGGAUAUGGAGCAACGUCUUGGGAUAUUGUUGGGCCGGAGCUUAUCGCAGCCGUUUAAAAAUUUUUUCAGAGUGGCGAACUACUCAAACAAUUGAACCAUUCAUUAAUAUCUUUGGUGCCAAAGACAUACCAUGCCCCAAGAGUUUCAAAUUACCGACCUAUCUCUUGUUGCAAUGUGUUCUACAAGAUCAUUGCAAAGGUACUGGUCGAGCGAUUAGCGGGGGUCUUGGGGGACUUGUUGGAUACGGCGUAAGCGACUUUUGUGAAAGGAUGAUCUAUUGGUGACAACAUUAAUCUCACACAGGAGUUGUUACGGAAGUAUGCAUGCAAAAGAAUUUUCCUGAGAUGUAUGAUCGUGGUUGACUUGUAGAAGACAUUUGAUACAGUAGAUUGAGAUUCCCUCAUGGGCGCCCUUGUUAGUUUUGAUUUUUCCUAAUGAUAUUGUGGAUGGAUUAGGGAGUGUGUAACUAUGACAUCCUAUUCUAUUUAUCUAAAUGGCGACAUCUAUGGAUUCUUUAGUCGGUGUCGCAGUCUAAGGCAAGGUGACCCCCUAUCUCCCCUACUUUUUGGGUUAUGCAUCGAAGUAUUAUCACGCAGGUUGCAGGUUGCCUCCUUGUCACCCUCCUUUCACUUUCAUCCUAUGUGUAAAAAGAUUGGCAUCACACAUCUUACAAAUGCAGAUGAUUUGAUGUUAUUUGCACGGGCAGAUGAAUCCUCAAUAAAAGUAUAGGCAGAUUGUUUGGAGGUUUUUGACAAUGAAGCAGAACUUCAGGCUAAUUCAUUGAAGUCUCAUAUGAAUAUGGUGGGGAUUGAUGAUAGAAUGAAGAACCAAUUGCUCCAACUUAUUGGGUUCCAGGAAGGAACAUUUCCAUUCUGGUACUUGGGGAUUCCACUAGCGGCAGAGAAGUUACGGAUUGCAAACUAUGGAUCAUACUGCCGAAGUUACGAAUUGCAAACUAUGGAUCAUUACUUGAUACUAUUACAAGGAAGAUUAAUUUUUGGCCAAAGUACACCUUAUCUUAUGCGGGGCACUUGGAGUUGGUGAAGACGGUGCUUCAAGGUAUGGAGUGUUAUUGGCUUUCCAUGCUCCCUAUUCCUGGCGGUGUCAUUGAAAAAAUCAAAGCAAUAUGUCGUACCUUUGUGUGGUCUUCAAAGCACCCUCCUAUUUCUUGGGCCACUAUGUGUUUUUCUCGACAUGAUGGUGGUUAUGGACUACGAGACCUACAUGCAUGGAACGAAGCACUUCUUAACAAGAUACUAUGGGAGAUCCAAACUAAUGCGGAUUCACUAUGGGUAAAAUGGGUGCACAAUCAUUAUCUCAACGAUACUGAUUUUUGGCAAAGGGAGGUCAAAGCUUCGAACUCUCCUCUUAUUAAACGGCUUGUGGACAUUCGAAAUAAAAUUCGAAGGGCUACAAAUGGAAGUGGGGAGGCGAACUUGUUGAUGGGUGAGUGGUUUGCAGGAGGAAAAAGUGGGACUACAAAUGCAUAUGGUUUCUUUAUGCUGAGAGGUCCUGAGGUGACAUGGGCAUCAUUGGUUUAGAGGCCGAAAAUUAUGCCGAAGCAUAGAUUCAUUCUAUGGUUACUUGCUCAUGGGAAGCAACAAACAACGGAUAGAAUGCCUUAUGUGGAGAACAAGACUUGUAUGCUUUGCCAAUGUCAAAAUGAGUCAAAUGGUCACUUAUUCUUUGAGUGCCCUAUUAUAUGUACUCUUUGGAACAAGGUGCAACGUCAACGACAGUGGCGAUGUCAAGAACGUAUGACACGCCUUAUCAUUUAGUUUUUCUUAAUUAUGACAAAGAUAUAAUGUAAUAAGCAUCUCACCUUCUCAAAUACGACUCCAUUCUUGGGACCUUCAAAGUCGAUGUGAAGGUCGUAGACAAUGGGACCAUCACUGUCGAUGGCAAGCCCAUCGAGGUCGUGUCCAAGCUUGAUCCUCUCCAGUUACCUUGGGCAGAGUUAGAAAUAAACAUUGUCAUCGAGGUACAUCAUUGAAGAUGUGCAUGUAGAUCCUUGAGCUAUGAACUUGCCAAUCCUAACAUCUUCACACUUCAGUUACCUCUGAUCAUCUCUCUCGUCAUGAUGGUGAUCCCCUGGCUAAUUCUCAGCCCUAUCAGAGUAUUGUUGGUGCUCUUCAGUAUCUCACUCUUACACACCUAGAACUUUCAUUUGUCGUCAACUGUGCAUGUCAGUUUAUGCAAUCUCCUACUAUGUCUCACUAGGUGGUUGUCAAACGUAUUCUUCAAUAUCUUCAACAUACUCAGUGUCAUGGUAUUCUUAUUCGAUCCUUCUCUUCUUUAAGUCUAACGACUUAUUCUGAUGUUGUCUGGGUAAGUUGCCCUAAUGAUCAUUGAUCUACCAUAGGGUACUAUAUUUUUCUUGACAACGCUCUUAUCUCAUGGAAUUCUAAGAAGUAGCAAGUGAUUGCUCACUCUAGUAUUAAAUCAGAAUAUCAUAUCUUGGCGCAUGCCGCAGGUAUUAAAUCAAAAUAUCAUGCCUUAGCGCAUGCCACUGUUGAAUUAUGCUAGUUCCAAUCACUUCUAAGUGAGUUAGUUCUAUGUUCCCAUGUUGCAACCACAGGUUUGCUGGUGUGACAACAUUGGAGCCACAUUUCUCACAGCCAAUCUGAUUUUUCAUACUCGUACAAAACACAUUGAGAUUGACUUCCAUUUUGUUCGCGAGCGUGUUGCUCAGAAGAAACUUCUCAUUCAGUACAUUUCUACUAAGGAUCAAGUUGAUGAUAUUUUCACAAAGAGCUUAACCUCACAUCAUUUUGCCCUUCUUCAAGACAAACUCACAGUGUGUGUCUCCCCGUUUCACUUGCGGGAGGGUAUUAAGGGAUAUACUUCCCGAUAUUUUAGGAUUCCGAAUCCGGAUUACAAUCAUCUUCAAAUUCUUAGGAAUUAUAUCUAAUCUCACAAAUUAAAGAUCUUUAUUUAUCACGAUCCCACAAAUUAAAGAUCUUUACUUAUCACUGGUUCAUUAUAAAUAUUGUAUCGACAAUAAACUCUGGUCAUGAGCUAAAAAUCAAUACAAUAUCUAUUUUCUAUCUGCAAGCCGAAGGUCAUGAUCAAUGGCUUUGGAAGAAUAGGUCGAAACUUCCUCCACUGUUGGCAUGGCCAAAGGACUCGUCGUUGGAAGCCACUGUUGUCAACGACAUUGGCAACAUCAAGAACGUAUGACAUGUCUCGUCAUUUAGUUUUUCUUAAUUAUGGCAAAGACAUACUAUAAUAAGCAUCUCACCUUCUCGAAUACGACUCCAUUCUUGGGACCUUCAAAGCCGAUGCGAAGAUCGUAGACAAUGGGACCAUCACUGUAGAUGGCAAGCCCAUCGAGGUUGUGUCCAAGCUUGAUCCUCUCCGGUUACCUUGGGCAGAGUUAGGAAUAGACAUUGUCAUUAAGGUACAUCAUUGAAGAUGUGCAUGUACGAGAACAGGGGACGGGUGUCUUUGUUGAUGGCUCAGGAGUCGGGAAACACAUACAAGCCGGUGCUAAGAAGGUCAUCAUCACAUCACCAGCAAAGGGGGCAGACAUCCCAACAUACGUUGUGGGCACGAAUGAAGGAGAUUACAGUCACGAGACGACAAAUAUAGUUAGUAAUGCAUCCUGCACGACCAAUUGCCUUGCUCCUUUUUUCAAGAUCUUGGAUGAAGAAUUUGGCAUUAUGCACGAACCAUGACAACUACUCACUCCUACAUAGGAGAUCAGAUGCGUCACACAGGGAUUUGAGGCGCGCGAGGGCCAUUGCGCUCAUCAUUGUCCUCACGAACACCGGUGCGGCAAUGUUGAGAAGAAGGGAAUCACGGCGGAGGACGUCAGCAUUGCAUUCCGAAAGGCGGGCGUUUUGGUCAUCUACGACGUUCCUUUAGUUCCGGUUGACCAUGGUGAUUUGAAAGACGUAUCUAACUUUCAAAUUUAUUAAACAUCAUAUUUAUUUUCUA